UACGGGGGGGGCAAGCGUUGUUCGGAAUUACUGGGCGUAAAGGGCUCGUAGGCGGCCAACUAAGUCGGAUGUGAAAUCCCCAGGCUUAACCUGGGAACUGCAUCCGAUACUGGAUGGCUUGAAUCCGGGAGAGGGAUGCAGAAUUCCAGGUGUAGCGGUGAAAUGCGUAGAUAUCUGGAGGAACACCGGUGGCGAAGGCGGCAUCCUGGACC
rnacentral:rRNA from 1 species